rnacentral:pre_miRNA from 3 species
GGAGAUGAGUUUUUCGAAAAUCUAUGGGAAUUGGUGAGUUGGAAAGCUUUUCUUUUUCUUCUCUUGUGAUUAGCUUUCCAAUUCCACCCAUUCCUAUGGUUUUUCGGUAUUCUCUCC